rnacentral:lncRNA from 1 species
GAUGGCUCAGAGCCAGUGCCAAGGGCCUCGCUCCGACACUCACCUGAGGACACGUGGGGAAGCAGGCAGAGGGAGGAGGUGGCCCCACCCACUCCUGCAGGUGGACUUGCUUCUCCUCAGUCCUCACCCUCUGGCUUCUGCACAUAAGUGUGAGUGACUCCUUACUGCCGUCCAGGCAGCCUGGGGGCUACGAGGGGCUUCAGAGGUCCUCAUCCCCAGCCUGUAGGCCUGGCCAUACUGGACCCAUGAGAUCAGCCACCCUGUCAGCUGGUACCUCGGGGUCCUACAGUCCUCCUCGCUCAAGCCCUGGUCCUCUAACUCGGAGGUGAUGAGGUGUUGGGCUGGAAGAGACAGGCAGCCAGAUGAUUCCAAUGUACAGCCAAUGAUGAGCAGCUGCUGGGCUGAAGGGACUGGGGCCAUUUUAUACCAGUUGUAGGAUGUUACACAGAAAUGCCUGAAAAGCAAGGAGCAGCUAUCAGAAUGUUUGGUGACACAGCUCCUCCUGUCGUGGUUCCUUCGGCAUGGACUUCACAUUCAGCAGAUCCAUGAGGUGUUCCCUUUCGGAUGAGCUCCAAGGUCUUAAGAGAGCAUCUCUAGUCUGCGUGAGUCCGUCUGAACGACGGUCCUGAGCAAGAACCACCUAUAACCAUCUGCUCAAAAUAACUCAGGGGAAGUCAAAGCUUUCUAUGUGGAAGGUGACUGAAACCACAUACACAGACCACUGCAGCAUUCCUGACAUUAUGGAACUUGGAAAUGAUUCCAAACAUGGCCAUAGCUUGAGUAACAUGUUUUGCUAUGACAAGAACUUGGACUGUAGUCCUUCCCCCUCUCAAGAAUGUGACAUCACACCUUAUCAGAUCCUACGAGUGAGCUACUGACCUCAACCACUGAACUUCAAACUAUGUAAAAACCUAAGGGUUCGACAGACACUUUGAGAGCUUGGGCUGUGGCAAGCUACACUCUGUCAGCCUCUCUUCGACAGGGCCCCACCCUGCUAGCCUUUGAACUUGGAAGCAUCGCCCACAAACACCAGUGCCACCCUCUAGCCUUGAGGGACCAUAUAUGUCUCUGUGAAUCUCCGUUGCAUUGGACAGCUUCUCUCCCAAGAGCUGCUCUUAUAAAAGAGACACACCACAUUUUAAUGAGGCUUCGCUCUCCACAGAGGCCUGCUUCCAUCCUAAUUGAGCAAGUAGACUUUAGUAACUUUGGAACUCACUCACCCCGUGACUAAUACACCCUGUCUACCCAGCGCAUUCCCUGUGAGAUUUGUUCAUGUUGUUCUCCCCCUCCUUAAGCAUUGUGAACCUAGGAAAAAUAUCAUCUCUGUAGGGCAAUAAACCAUGUGAUUUGUGAAAUCAUACUUUGAGCAUCUCCUAAUUUUAACCAUACACAAUGCCUGAGAACUGGGAAAUGAAGAAAGGAGGAAUUGGAUCUAAAAAUGUGUUUAACAAAGUAUAAACGCCAUAGAUAUCCAACAACAGGGUGCCUGGACAGAUAAACAGAGGCAGGCUACCUCUUCCAAAUGUCAUAGACUACACAAUACAUAGAAAGAGGGUCAUGGGAUUAUAUGAGGUAAAAAGAGGCCAUAAUGCGGAAGGAGGAGAAUCGCUGGUUUACAAGACGGUGCAGAGUCUCCCACAGAGAGCAUCUGUUUGGCCCAGUACUAGGAGGCCUCUUUGGUGUGAAAUGUGAAGCCCCCAGGGAAUGGCCCUGAUGGGCUAAAAUGUGAAGAAGGGGGAUGGCUACUGAAUUAAAAGAAGUAGCAGGAAUUUGAGAGACUGGGGGCUGGCAGCUGGAGGAGGCAGGAGCUGCCCAGUAGGACAUCCAGGCAUCGAGCAAGUGUCUGUGAAGGAGCAUUCAUGGAGGAUUCCUCACGCCAGAGUCUUGGAGGAGGAAAGAGCCAGGCUUAAUCUUGGUCUCUCCUGUCUCUGUGGAAGCCUGAAUUCCCCUCGGUUUAUGAGGUAAAGAAUAGCUGGUCUCCUUCACAUGCUUUCCCGACCCUAUCCUGGAUAAACUGAGGCAGGAAGGCAUCUGCUUUCUACUCCAGUGAUGUUGCGGCCGGGAUGCCUUCUGGGGAACUCGAAUGCUGCAGGCAGAGGGGCUAGUUUCUGAAUUGCUUGUGACAUGUUUGGCUACCAGUGACCAAAGUCCUCUAUGGCUGGCAUUCUUUAGUUUAAAGAAUCGAGGGUGUCUCUUAAACCAGGGAUGAGGGCCUUGGAAACCUUCCAAAAAUUUUUAUACAACGCGGGUACAUACAACUUUUUACAAAUAUGAAAUCAUACUGUACAUCCUUUCUUUUGUGACCUAUUUUCAUUCAAUAACAUUUUACAGUUUUCAUGUUAAUAAACCUAGCUGUACAUUACUGGUACAUACUAGUUACUGGUACAUUGACAUUUAUGACCAGUUGUGUUUCCAUGGUAAGGUUGUGUCAGAGCUGGAUGCAUGUGCCCUGUUGUUGGAUAUUUAUCUUAUUUGUCAUUUUUGCGUUGAAACAACGCUAUGAAUGAAUAGUGUUGUAAAUGCGUCUGGACUGAUCGUCUCUACUGGAU